AUGCCUUGGACACGUUGGUUGGCAUGUAAAUGAACACGUGCCAGACGAAGGGCAGAUGACUCGAAGCUCGAAGUAGCCCUUGGAUGCACGGUGUAGCAGAAGCUCAAGAAACUGUCAUCUCUCAGUGGUGGUGGAGAAACAGAGCAAUUCGACUCUACAAACAUCAACGAGCGGGCUUUACCGGUUGGUUUUCUUUUCUCGGUGUUGCUAGUUGAUGUAUCACCACAUGAUGAUGCACAUACAAAUAUAUAUCAUAAAGUGAAAGCUUCUCUUUCA